ensembl:misc_RNA 7SK 7SK RNA
GGGUGUGAGGGCAGCCCAGCUGUGCUGUCUGUCAUCCCAAUGAUGGCCAUGGCUGACCAUGAUGACAUGAUGGUCCAGUUGGCUAGGUGAGUGCCCCCUUCUCUUCCCUUACAACUCCAUAUGUGUCCCUCCCAAAACUGCUUGUUUGGCUAGAGAGAAUGAUCUUGCAAAAGACUGGGUCCUGCUGUUCUUUGGUCAAGGGUAUAUAAAUAGCUGCACUUCACAGCUAGAACCUCCAAAACUGCUUUUAAGGAUGCAAAAGUCUUCAGGGCUCUUCCUCAGCAGCCAGCAAUGCUCAAACCACAUCAUGUUUGUUUUUCUUA